rnacentral:lncRNA from 1 species
AAUAAACCAAUCGAACAAAUCAGAUUCCACCUUGAAAAUGACUCUAUGAGCUUUUUAAACCAUAGUUACUGAUCAAAACCCGGUAAUUCAAAAACCAUUUUGAACAUUAAAUGAGCUAAGAAUUUUAAUUAGGAGCUAAACUUGCAAUUGAUCCAGAAAAGUCGAUGUAACAGUACUUUUUUUUGGAGUUUUUCUGUUGUUUUUCCUUUUUUGUUUGGUUUUUGAAGAUUUUGGAAUUUGAAAUUGAAUUUUUAGAUUGAAACUUACAGAAUGCUUUUUUGGGAGAUUUUUU